GUAAAGAAAAAUGAAAGUUGUACAAAACAUAAUUUAUGCCUUUCUUAUUAAGGGAAACAAAAUUUUCAUAUAAAAAGUUCACAUUUAAGUCGCAGUUAUUUUCAGAUUAGAAACAAAUAGUGCACAAAAUAUCCAUUUCAUCACCUUUUUUAGCAUGCAUGGCCACAGACAAUUUUAUACUUUGCCGGUUUCUCAUUUAGCAUUCUAUAGAAUGCCGGAUUUCAAACUUUUGCAUAUAAAAGUAAUUUUGUUAUUGUGUUGCAUAGAAUGAAAAUGAGGAAGGAUUAUAUAUAUUUUGAGGAUAUUAUGUCCGGCUUUUGAAUAUAAAAGUUAUCUUAUUAUUGUGGUGGCUAGAGUGAUAAUGUAGAAGGAUGUAUUUCUUUUCAAGGUAUGUAUUAUGUCUAGUUUUAAAAAUUAAAGGUAAUCUUAUUAUUGUGAAGAAAAAUGUUUUUUUAUUUUUAUGAAGAUAUCAAAAGAAAAUAAUAUCCUUUAACUGUAUGAAUUUAUAAACUCACCAUUAAAUGUUUUAUUAUUAUUUUCAAGUCUAAAACUGAAAUUAAGAAGUCGAAAUUUUUUGCGUAUUCAAUGAGAUUCAUGUCACUGCAGAAAUGAGUGGUAGGAUAUAGUUACAGACAUUAUAUAUAUGUAUUUUUUAUUUCAGUGGUGCUGAUCUUGCUUUUCUUGUACGUGAAGCUACACAAAAAGCUGUAAAACAAGUCAUUAGUGAAUUUGAAGAAAAAAAGCAAGUUAAUUUAUUAAAUACUAAAAUUACUGUCAAUUGGGACCAUUUUGAUGAAGUGCUAGAUGAAAAGAAAAUUAAACCAUCAAUUAAUAAAAAUGAAAGGAAGUAUUUUGAAAGGUCUCAAGAAA